UGGUCAUACAGCGAAUUACAUCAUGUAGUAAUGAGCAGUGUGCAUCAGUCGAUGACAGAUGAGCCAUCAGUGUGCAGAGUAAUCACUUCAUAAGUUGGUUGUGCGUGAAUGAAAAGAUAUCUUCGUCUUUCAUCUGGAGAAUGAAUCCGCUGCCUGUUCCUUGUACCGAAAACAUCCAGGACUGUUUAAACCCAUAUACACUUCAAAACAUUCACAACAUCUUCAGAGGAGAACAUCACGGAGAACUGCAGAAGAGCUGUGCAGACGCUUGGCAGCUCAUCGCAGCUUUGUGAGCCGGUGCUGGAGAUACUUGGGGACACAACUGCAUAGUGGUUAUCCUGUCGUGUGUCGACCUGAGGAUUCGCCUCAAGUUUCCUGACCCGACUGGACAGUAUGUUGGCUUUGGCCCGCUCCUGGACUACACCUGGACAUGUGUCGAGCCACCCCUCCUUCUUUUUGAGAGCCAGGUAUUUUCUGCAGCUCCUCCAUGAAUGGUUCUGGUUCCUGAAACACCUCCUCCAACACCAGUGCCAUCAAGUCCCCGACAUAUCCUGUAAAAAAGUAAUUCAAGAACAAAAAUCUAUUUCAUAAUGUUUGGUUAUUGCUCAUUUUUCACACUCAUCUG